rnacentral:rRNA from 1 species
GACGAACCGUGCGAACGUUGUUCGGAUUCACUGGGCUUAAAGGGCGCGUAGGCGGGCCGGCAAGUCCGGGGUGAAAUCCCACGGCUCAACCGUGGAAUAGCCUUGGAUACUGCCGGUCUCGAGGGAGGUAGGGGCGUGUGGAAUUUCCGGUGUAGCGGUGAAAUGCGUAGAUAUCGGAAGGAACACCAGUGGCGAAAGCGGCUUCCUGGUCCAGCACCGACGUUCAGGCACGAAAGCGUGGGGAGCAAACAGG